rnacentral:rRNA from 1 species
AGUGAACGCUGGCGGCAGGCCUAACACAUGCAAGUCGAGCGGCAGCGGGAGUAGCAAUACUUGCCGGCGACCGGCGCACGGGUGCGUAACACGUAUACAAUCUGCCUAUAUCAGGGAGAUAGCCCGGAGAAAUUCGGAUUAAUAUCCCAUAACAUAGUUGAAUGGCAUCAUUUAAUUAUUAAAGUUCCGACGGAUAUAGAUGAGUAUGCGUCCUAUUAGCUAGUUGGUAGUGUAACGGACUACCAAGGCGACGAUAGGUAGGGGUACUGAGAGGUUAAACCCCCACACUGGUACUGAGACACGGACCAGACUCCUACGGGAGGCAGCAGUAAGGAAUAUUGGACAAUGGUGGCAACACUGAUCCAGCCAUGCCGCGUGCAGGAUGAAGGACCUAUGGUUUGUAAACUGCUUUUGUGCGAGAGAAAACCCUCCUACGUGUAGGAGGCUGAUAGUAUCGCAAGAAUAAGCAU